rnacentral:rRNA from 1 species
CAGGGUGAUCAUACCAAUGUUAAUGCACUGGAUCCCAUCAGAACUCUGCAGUUAAGAACACUUGGUCUAGAGUAGUAUUGGGAUGGGUGACCUCCCGGGAAGUCCUAGUGUUGCACUGU